rnacentral:rRNA from 1 species
UAGCCCUAAAUCUUGAUGACCCCAAACACAAACAUCCGCCUGAGAACUACGAGCACAAACGCUUAAAACUCUAAGGACUUGGCGGUGCUCUAAACCCACCUAGAGGAGCCUGUUCUAUAAUCGAUAACCCACGAUUCACCCGACCACCUCUUGCCAAAACAGCCUAUAUACCGCCGUCGCCAGCCCACCUCAUGAGAGCACAACAGUGAGCCCAACAGCCCACAGCCCACUAACAAGACAGGUCGAGGUAUAGCCUAUGAGAUGGAAGAAAUGGGCUACAUUUUCUAAAAUAGAAAACCCAACGAAAAGGGGCUUGAAACCUGCCCCCAGAAGGCGGAUUUAGCAGUAAAGUAGGA